AACAAACGCUGGCGGCGUGCCUAACACAUGCAAGUCGUACGAGAAAAUCCGCUUCGGUGGAUGAGUAAAGUGGCGCACGGGUGAGUAACGCGUGGAUAAUCUGCCCUUUAGUCGGGAAUAACUCAUCGAAAGGUGGGCUAAUACCGGAUAACGCUGUUUUCGCUUCGGUGAUACAGCCAAAGGGGGCCUCUAUUUAUAAGCUCUUACUGAGGGAUGAGUCCGCGUACCAUUAGCUAGUUGGUAGGGUAAUAGCCUACCAAGGCAACGAUGGUUAGCUGGUCUGAGAGGAUGAUCAGCCACACUGGAACUGAGAUACGGUCCAGACUCCUACGGGAGGCUG
rnacentral:rRNA from 1 species